GGGGCUGUAGCUCAGUUGGGAGAGCGCCUGCUUUGCAAGCAGGAUGUCGCAGGUUCGAUUCCUGUCAGCUCCAC
rnacentral:tRNA from 2 species